UCAAAUUAAUUUACUGAUAGAAUCUAAGUGCAGAAAGCACAUAGAUUACGAACGAGAGAGACAAAAAUCGAUCUAAGUGCAACUAAUGAAAAUUAAAAGUUACAAUAUUAUAAUUCAUUCUUCCUAUAAUAUAUUUAGAGUGGGGCAACAUAGAAAGCAACCCGGUCAACAUAAAAUCCAAACACAAACAUAACAAACCGAAUCGAACAUGGCGUGCUCAGAAGAUACACAUUUGGUUGCGGAAUAUUGAAAAAAAAAAAACUCUUCCAUACGUGGUGCUCCGUCGCCCGAGUCGCUUGCUGUUUUUGAAGAAUUACACUUCAUGGUCGCCGCUCCUUCACCGUCACCAAGGACGAACGCGUGGACGAUUUGGGAUCCUGCCGGGAUCCUGGGAGCUGCCGGAUCCUAGACUGAAUAAGGCUGCGAUGAGGAUGUGCUUUUUUAUCAGUUUGGUAGGGGAACGUCCAUAAAUUACGUCACGCAAAAAUCGACCAUUUUCAACCCCCCCUCCCCCCUAUGUCACACUUUUUGUAUUGGACCUCUGAAAUUUUUGUAUGGGUCGUCACACUUUGCUGAACCCCCCCUCCCCCCUCAA